GAUGAAGAACGCAGCGAACGUGCGAAACGUAAUGUGAAUUGCAGAAUUCAGUGAAUCAUCGAAUCUUUGAACGCAUCUUGCGCUCCUUGAUAUUCCGAGGAGCAUGCCUGUUUGAGUGUCGUGAAAUACUCUCAAUUUCAAUCCUUUUUGUUGGGGGUUCGAAAUUGGAUUUGGGUGUUGUUGUGGCUCACAACUCAUCCUAAAUGCAUUAGCGAUCUGCCUUUGAUCACACACAAUGUGAUAAGAAAAAGCAUUGUUAGCAUCAAGUCAGGAUGGCUUCUAACCGUCCUUCACGGGACAAUCAUUUUAUGUCAUUUGACCUCAGAUCAGGCAGGACUACCCGCUGAACUUAAGCAUAUCAAUAAGCGGAGGA
rnacentral:misc_RNA from 1 species